rnacentral:rRNA from 1 species
CCUACGGGCGGCAGCAGUGAGGAAUAUUGGUCAAUGGGCGAGAGCCUGAACCAGCCAAGUCGCGUGAGGGAGUACUGCCCUAUGGGUUGUAAACCUCUUUUGUCGGGGAGCAAAAGCCGGACGUGUCCGGCUGUGAGAGUACCCGAAGAAAAAGCAUCGGCUAACUCCGUGCCAGCAGCCGCGGUAAGACGGAGGAUGCGAGCGUUAUCCGGAUUUAUUGGGUUUAAAGGGUGCGCAGGCGGAUUUUUAAGUCAGCGGUAAAAUCGUGGGGCUCAACCCCAUCCAGCCGUUGAAACUGGGGAUCUAGAGUGUGCGAGAGGUAUGCGGAAUGCGUGGUGUAGCGGUGAAAUGCAUAGAUAUCACGCAGAACCCCGAUUGCGAAGGCAGCAUACCGGUGCACAACUGACGCUCAGGCACGAAAGCGUGGGUAUCGAACAGGAUUAGAUACCCUGGUAGUC